UGACAAAGAAAAUCUGUAUUAUGGUUUUGAAAUACGGUGAAUCUAAAGGAAAACUAAUAUUUGUUGCUAUUUCAGUAUUUCCCUUUAAAUUAUGUAUCACUUUUGUCUUAACUUAACACAACUAUAUACUUGUUCAUAGUAAUAAUAACAAAAGUUGUGAUGGUAAUGAUUUCGUACUCAAUCUACCUACUAUCAUCUGAAGUUCUUCUGGUUCAUUAUAGUAAUACUUCACCAAUGUCUAUUAUAUGGCUUGUUUCCUCUUCAUCAUUAUCCACACGAUUCCUGGCUUGUAUUUGGUUGUUUUAUUUCUUCAUUACUGCAAGUGAUCCGCUUUAACUUGUAUCGCGCUGAGCUUUGCUGGAUGGUUUUUGCUCAGACUUUGUCUCCAUCUUUGAUGACAUCUUCGUGUUAAUUAGUCCGUAGGGAAUAAUAACGGUGUUGUGCGACUUAAGUUCCCUUGGGCAGGAAGGCACAUUGCCAACUUCAUUGGAAAAUAAUUCAAAGGUACAAUAUACACAUAGAACAAUUCAAAGGGAUGAACAGUAUGCAAAGACCGCAUACAUUCGCACAGCUUUUCAAUCACAUACAUGUUACAACCACAAACAUACACUAAUUGAAAGACCACAUUCACCUAUACAGACAUAGGACAAUUUUACAUUCACUUAUAUACAUUGCAGAGUUUACAUUCACCUAUCGAUAUUGGACAAUUUUACAUUCACCUACAUAUACAUUGGAGAGUUUACAUUCACGUACAGACAUUGGACAAUUUUACAUUCACCUACAGACAUUUGACAAUUUUACUUUCACCUACAGACAUUGAACAAUUUUACAUUCACGUACAGACAUUGGACAAUUUUGCAUUCACCAGAAAAACAUUGAACAAUUUCGCAUCAAAUACAUAAGAUGCAAAUGAAACAAUGCAUUUAUUGAGCACGUGUAGGCCACGAAAAUCAG